GAAUUUUCCGCAAUGGGCGAAAGCCUGACGCAGCAACGCCGCGUGUGUGAUGAAGGCCCUAGGGUCGUAAAGCACUGUCAGGAGGGAAGAAAUCAAUGACGGUACCUCCAAAGGAAGCACCGGCUAACUCCGUGCCAGCAGCCGCGGUAAUACGGAGGGUGCAAGCGUUGUUCGGAAUCAUUGGGCGUAAAGCGCGCGCAGGUGGUCUGCCAAGUCUGGUGUGAAAGCCCAGGGCUCAACCCUGGAACUGCAUUGGAAACUAGUAGACUUGAGUCCGAGGGGGGCCUGUGGAAUUCCUGGUGUAGGGGUGAAAUCCGUAGAGAUCAGGAGGAACACCGGUGGCGAAGGCGACAGGCUGGACCGGAACUGACACUGAGGCGCGAAAGUGUGGGGAGCAAACAGG
rnacentral:rRNA from 1 species